AGAAUCAACGCUGGCGGCGUGCCUAACACAUGCAAGUCGAACGCGAAAGGGGCUUCGGCCCUGAUUAGAGUGGCGAACGGGUGAGUAACGCGUGGGUGACCUACCUUCGAGUGGGGGGAUAACGUCCCGAAAGGGACGCUAAUACCGCAUGACAUCCUGCUUUUGAACAGGCGGAGAUCAAAGCCGGGGAUCGCAAGACCUGGCGCUUGGAGAGGGGCCCGCGUCCGAUUAGCUAGUUGGUGGGGUAAUGGCUCACCAAGGCGACGAUCGGUA
rnacentral:rRNA from 1 species